GCGCGAUUGGAGCGGCCGAUGUCCGAUUAGCUAGUUGGUGGGGUAAAGGCCUACCAAGGCGACGAUCGGUAGCUGGUCUGAGAGGAUGAUCAGCCACACUGGGACUGAGACACGGCCCAG
rnacentral:rRNA from 1 species